rnacentral:rRNA from 1 species
GAUGAACGCUGGCGGCGUGCCUAAUACAUGCAAGUCGAGCGAACAGACGAGGAGCUUGCUCCUCUGACGUUAGCGGCGGACGGGUGAGUAACACGUGGAUAACCUACCUAUAAGACUGGGAUAACUUCGGGAAACCUGAGCUAAUACCGGAUAAUAUAUUGAACCGCAUGGUUCAAUAGUGAAAGACGGUUUUGCUGUCACUUAUAGAUGGAUCCGCGCCGCAUUAGCUAGUUGGUAAGGUAACGGCUUACCAAGGCAACGAUGCGUAGCCGACCUGAGAGGGUGAUCGGCCACACUGGAACUGAGACACGGUCCAGACUCCUACGGGAGGCAGCAGUAGGGAAUCUUCCGCAAUGGGCGAAGGCCUGACGGAGCAACGCCGCGUGAGUGAUGAAGGUCUUCGGAUCGUAAAACUCUGUUAUUAGGGAAGAACAAAUGUGUAAGUAACUAUGCACGUCUUGACGGUACCUAAUCAGAAAGCCACGGCUAACUACGUG